GUCAUGAACCCCGCAUUGAAUGCGGGGGCUUGCAGGCAGGCCACGUGCCAACCUGUAAGCCCUGGACAUGAGCAGACUCAGGCUUGCAAGAGAGCCUACGUUCUCAGGAAGUGUUUAAGUUCCUACCUCCGGGUGCGCGGCCAGCCUGGAGCUCUAGA
rnacentral:sRNA from 24 species